GGCUCCAAGCUUCAUAGCGAUGCAGAUAAAAUUCAAACACUGUCACUGAAGACUAGACCUUGUUGGAGUAACAUUUUUCCCACUGUAGGAAGUAGAGGAAGAGAUGAAGAGUGUUGUUAAGAAGAGCUUGGAAACCUGGGAUAAUACACCUAAGCUUUUUGCUUUUCAGAAAGCAGCAGCAGAUCUAUGGCAGUAUACCAAAAGCAACGCUCACAUGGCAGGGAUGGCUGUUGCUACUGCUGCCACCCCACAGCCUUUCCUUUCCUGGAGCUCUGACAUGGUCAAAAUAAGCAGUGCGAUCAUUUUGCUGCCACUUGCAAACUGUGACUUUAGGCAAGGGUCCUGGAUGCAAUGGUGGGAUGCACUGGACUCCAUUGCUCCUCAUGUGGUCAUGUGUGAGUGCUGUUGGUUCCAAUCCAGGGAUGGAGCAACAAUUGAUCCUGGGCAGGAUGUCCAUCUAAAGAGACUUUUUGACUUACUCCAGAAUUACAUAUGGAAACCUCCACUGAAAUCCAACAGCCAAGACUACAUCAAUAAAAGUGCUUGGAAAGGCAAAGCCUGCUCACAUGAAGAACAGUCCAAAACAGACUUUGUCCAAAGAUAACAGCUUGUGGUCCCAGAGAUGGCUCCAGGAAAACAGGAAGUUCCAUACAAACGUGCAGAAGAACUUCAUUAUGGAAAGGGUG
ensembl:lncRNA